rnacentral:rRNA from 1 species
UACGUAGGGUGCGAGCGUUGUCCGGAAUUAUUGGGCGUAAAGGGCUCGUAGGCGGUUUGUCGCGUCGGGGAGUGAAAACCAGGUGCUUAACACCUGGCUUGCUUUCGAUACGGGCAGACUAGAGGUAUGCAGGGGAGAACGGAAUUCCUGGUGUAGCGGUGAAAUGCGUAGAUAUCAGGAGGAAUACCGAUGGCGAAGGCAGGUCUCUGGGCUGACACUGACGCUCAUGCACGAAAGCGUGGGGAGCAAACAGG